rnacentral:rRNA from 1 species
GACGAACGCUGGCGGCGUGCCUAAUACAUGCAAGUCGAGCGGAUUUAUCCUUCGGGAUAAGUUAGCGGCGGACGGGUGAGUAACACGUAGGUAACCUGCCUAUAAGAUCGGGAUAACUAUCGGAAACGAUAGCUAAGACCGGAUAAUUGGUUCUCUCGCAUGAGAGAAUUAUGAAACACGGAGCAAUCUGUGGCUUAUAGAUGGGCCUGCGGCGCAUUAGCUAGUUGGUGAGGUAACGGCUCACCAAGGCGACGAUGCGUAGCCGACCUGAGAGGGUGAACGGCCACACUGGGACUGAGACACGGCCCAGACUCCUACGGGAGGCAGCAGUAGGGAAUCUUCCGCAAUGGACGCAAGUCUGACGGAGCAACGCCGCGUGAGUGAUGAAGGUUUUCGGAUCGUAAAGCUCUGUUGCCCUAGACGAACAGCAAGAGGAGUAACUGCCUUUUGUGUGACGGUAUAGGAGAAGA